CCCGCUGAACUUAAGCAUAUCAAUAAGCGGAGGAAAAGAAACCAACAAGGAUUCCCCUAGUAACGGCGAGUGAAGCGGGAAGAGCUCAAAUUUAAAAUCUGGCAGUCUUUGGUUGCCUGAAUUGUUAUCUAGAGAAGCGUUUUCCGUGCUGGACUGUGUACAAGUUUCCUGGAUACCGAACAUCAUAGAGGGUGAGAAUCCCGUCCUUGACACAGACCCCCAGUACUUUUGUGAUGCGCUCUCGACGAGUCGAGUUGUUUGGGAUUGCAGCUCAAAAUGGGAGGUAAAUUCCUUCUAAAGUCUAAAUAUUGGCGAGAGACCGAUAGCGAACAAGUACCGUGAGGGAAAGAUGAAAAGCACUUUGGAAAGAGAGUUAAACAGUACGUGAAAUUGUUAAAAGGGAAACGCUUGAAGUCAGUCACGAUUGCUUGGACUCAGCCUUACUUCCUGUUGGCGCAUUUCCUUGCAGACUGGCCAGCGUCCAUGUUGUUUGUCCGGUGAAGGGGUGAGAGAAUGUGGCUCCUUUGCGAGUGUUAUAGCUCUUGCUCGUAUGCGGGGAAUGAUAUGGAGAGGAACAGCACACUAUGGUGGUGCUUGUGCUGGCAUAAUGGCUAUCAACGACCCGUCUUGAAACACGG
rnacentral:rRNA from 1 species